rnacentral:rRNA from 1 species
UACGUAGGUGGCAAGCGUUGUCCGGAUUUAUUGGGCGUAAAGAGCGUGUAGGCGGCCUGGUAGGUCAGUUGUGAAAACUCGAGGCUCAACCUCGAGACGCCGAUUGAAACCAUCAGGCUAGAGUCCGGAAGAGGAGAGUGGAAUUCCCGGUGUAGCGGUGAAAUGCGCAGAUAUCGGGAAGAACACCCGUGGCUAAGGCGGCUCUCUAGUACGGUACUGGACGCUGAGACGCGAAAGCGUGGGGAGCGAACGAGGAUAGAA